GAUGAACGCUAGCGACAGGCCUAACACAUGCAAGUCGAGGGGCAGCACAUAAGGUAGCAAUACUUUGGUGGCGACCGGCGCACGGGUGAGUAACACGUAUGCAAUCUACCUGUAAGCGGGGAAUAACCCGGAGAAAUUCGGACUAAUACCGCAUAAUACCACGAAUUCGCAUGAAUUUGUGUGUUAAACAUUUAUGGCUUACAGAUGAGCAUGCGUAUGAUUAGAUAGUUGGUAGGGUAACGGCCUACCAAGUCUGCGAUCAUUAGGGGUUCUGAGAGGAAGGUCCCCCACACUGGUACUGAGACACGGACCAGACUCCUACGGGAGGCAGCAGUGAGGAAUAUUGGUCAAUGGGCGAGAGCCUGAACCAGCCAAGUCGCGUGAAGGAAGAAGGUUCUAUGGAUUGUAAACUUCUUUUGUAAGGGAAUAAAGUACGGCACGUGUGCUGUUUUGUAUGUACCUUACGAAUAAGGAUCGGCUAACUCCGUG
rnacentral:rRNA from 1 species